rfam:Trichoderma reesei QM6a unplaced genomic scaffold TRIREscaffold_29, whole genome shotgun sequence.
GCUUCCGUAGCUCAGUUGGUUAGAGCUUCGUACUAAUACUUCCGGCCUUGUGCCAAGUGUUGGUAAUGCGAAGGUCGCAGGUUCAAGCCCUGCCGGGAGCA